AGGAGGAGCCCAUCCUGAUGAGUUUGCAGCCCCUAUUCCAGGUUUCCAUGAGGCCAAUUAUCCUUCAGCAUCUUGGGUAAGAGGUCUGGGGUGAGGUUGAGCAGAUACAGAAAGUCGGAAUGGAUUCGUGUAGAGCAGGUGAACGAGGCCAUGUGGGAGAGGGAGACAGCCUGGAGAGGGACUAGAAAGGACUCUGGAAAAGAAUGGGAAAUCCAGACCCAGAGGAUCUAUUGCUAGAUUUGCACAUGCUCCUCCAGACAGCUCAGUGUAGAACGGCUCCCCAUUCCUU
rnacentral:lncRNA from 1 species